GACAGAGGGGGCAAGCGUUGUCCGGACUUACUGGGCGUACAGCGCGCGCAGGCGGCCGAGUAUGUGCCCGGUGACAUCCCGCCGCUCAACGGCGGGCGGCCCGGGUAGACAGCUGGGCUGGAGACAGGGAGAGGGACGUGGAAUGCCCGGUGGAGCGGUGAAAUGCGUAGAGAUCGGGCGGAACACCAGUGGGGAAGCCGGCGUCCUGGCCCUGGACUGACGCUGAGGCGCGAUAGCGUGGGGAGCAAACGGG
rnacentral:rRNA from 1 species